AGCGAACGCUGGCGGCAGGCCUAACACAUGCAAGUCGAACGGAUCCUUCGGGAUUAGUGGCGGACGGGUGAGUAACACGUGGGAACGUGCCCUUUGGUUCGGAACAACUCAGGGAAACUUGAGCUAAUACCGGAUGUGCCCUUCGGGGGAAAAAUUUAUCGCCAUUGGAGCGGCCCGGGUCUGAUUAGCUAGUUGGUGAGGUAAAGGCUCACGAAGGCGACGAUCAGUAGCUGGUCUGAGAGGAUGAUCGGCCACAUUGGGACUGAGACACGGCCCAAACUCCUACGGGAGGCAGCAGUGGGGAAUCUUGCGCAAUGGGCGAAAGCCUGACGCAGCCAUGCCGCGUGAAUGAUGAAGGUCUUAGGAUUGUAAAAUUCUUUCACCGGGGACGAUAAUGACGGUACCCGGAGAAGAAGCCCCGGCUAACUUCGUGCCAGCCGCCGCCGUAACAC
rnacentral:rRNA from 1 species